GGACGGGUGAGGAAUACGUAGGAAUCUGCCCUUAAGUGGGGGAUAACCCGGGGAAACCCGGAUUAAUACCGCAUGAUCUCGAAAGAGCAAAGCAGGGGACCGCAAGGCCUUGCGCUUUUGGAGGAGCCUACGUCGGAUUAGCUAGUUGGUGAGGUAACGGCUCACCAAGGCGACGAUCCGUAACUGGUCUGAGAGGAUGAUCAGUCACACCGGAACUGAGACACGGUCCGGACUCCUACGGGAGGCAGCAGUGGGGAAUAUUGGACAAUGGGCGAAAGCCUGAUCCAGCAAUGCCGCGUGUGUGAAGAAGGCCUUCGGGUUGUAAAGCACUUUAAGUUGGGAAGAAAAAGCUUCACCUAAUACGGGAGCCUUGACGGUACCGACAGAUAAGCACCGGCUAA
rnacentral:rRNA from 1 species